rnacentral:rRNA from 1 species
ACGCUCGACACCUACGGGAGCAGCAGUGGGGAAUAUUGCACAAUGGGGGAAACCCUGAUGCAGCGACGCCGCGUGAAGGAAGAAGUAUUUCGGUAUGUAAACUUCUAUCAGCAGGGAAGAAGAUGACGGUACCUGACUAAGAAGCCCCGGCUAACUACGUGCCAGCAGCCGCGGUAAUCUGAGGCGGGCUGGCAAGGC